UGAGACAAGGAAUUGAUUUUUUGACUGUGUUGAGUGUUUGGGUUUUUGGAGGUCGGUAGGCUACUGGUGCAGCCCAACGAUAUGUGGUGUGGUCAGUGAGUUGUGUGAGUGUACUCAGGGUUAACAAAUGAGAAGCCUUGGAAUUCUUCCUGGUCCAGGUUGGCUAUAAGCUCC